GUAGGGUAACGGCCUACCAAGGCUACGACGGGUAGCCGGCCUAAGAGGGUGGUCGGUCACACUGGGACUGAGACACUGCCCAGACUCCUACGGGAGGCUGCAGUCGAGAAUCUUCCGCAAUGGACGAAAGUCUGACGGAGCGACGCCGCGUGGAGGACGAAGGCCCUCGGGUUGUAAACUCCUGUCACGAGUUAAGAAGGGCGUAUGACGAACAGUUGUGCGUCUUGACGAAGGCUCGAGAGGAAGCACUGGCUAACUCUGUGCCAGCAGCCGCGGUAAUACAGAGAGUGCGAACGUUGUUCGGAAUUACUGGGCUUAAAGCGUACGUAGGCGGCGCAGCAAGUGUCGGGUGAAAGCCCACGGCUCACCCGUGGAAUUGCCCGGCAAACUGCCGUGCUAGAGUGUGGUAGGGGAGAGCAGAACUCCUGGUGGAGCGGUGAAAUGCGUAGAUAUCAGGAGGAAUACCGGUGGCGAAGGCGGCUCUCUGGUCCACAACUGACGCUGAGGUACGAAAGCUAGGGUAGCGAACGGGAUUAGAUACCCCGGUAGUCCUAGCCGUAAACGAUGGGCACUAGCUUGGGGACUCCCUGUGUGUUUCCAGGUGAAGCAAAAGUGAUAAGUG
rnacentral:rRNA from 1 species